rnacentral:lncRNA from 1 species
GGUGGCUGUGGGGGAUUUCCCUUGAUAUGUCCUUGCCUCAGUGGAGGCAUGGUUAUAAGCCUGUGCCAUCAACUCAGAGUAAGUCUUCCAAGUGUUGGCAUUGAUCAUGUACUUGAAGAAACAAUCACGUAAGCUUGCCGUGAAGGCUUUGAGGGCAGUCUUGUUGUCUGCCUCGGCACAAUGGGAAUACUCAUGGCUGAAGCGGCCAGCAUACAUACGUAAUAACUCGUCUGCCUUUUGGUGAAUAGUGUACAAGUCAUCCGCAGAGUGCAAGCGAUCGGUUUGGAAAAUGUGUUGAGAAACAAACAGUUUUCUCAAUUCCUCAAA